AGGGCAGGAUGCCGGAUAACGUCCGGUGGAGGCGACUCCAAGGCCAGUGCAACAGAAAUAUACCGCCGUCUGAAUCAAUGGUUCAUAGUUUGAAUCAUUGAUUCAAACAGGUAAGGGUGGAAAGGCAGAGUAAGAGACUACCGCAUUGCUGGUAACAGCAGUGGCACAUGUAAACCCCAUCCGAAGCAAGACCAAACAAAAGCGUUACAAAGGCUGCCCGCCAAGCUUUAGGUAGGUCGCUUGAGCCUGCUGGUAACAGCAGGACUAGAUAGAUGAUCGUCACAGCUAUGCUGACAUAACCCGGCUUAUAGCGCUGCUCAUUUU
rnacentral:RNase_P_RNA from 1 species